GGCCCUGUGAGUAGUAGUAGAUAAUGUACCAAUGUGCCAUGUAUAAUCUGACUGUGCUAGAUAGAAGGGGAUCUGUGGCACGCCAUAUAAAAGUGGAUUAUAGUAACUCCUUUGAACCAAUAAAUAGAGCAAUGGAGUCCAUGAGAUCCAUAAGGGUUUUAACAAACCUAAUAUACUGCUGAUGUGAGUGAAAAUCUGAAAUCGACAAGUAUACUGGCCCCC
rnacentral:lncRNA from 1 species